ACUGGCCUCUAAUGUGAGAGGGUACCC
rnacentral:rRNA from 1 species